CUCUUUGGACACACCCUUUAAUCAUUCCUAUGGAUGUAAUGCGCAUGCGCGCUCAAUCCCCACGUGUGAGAAAUAAUAUCCAAGAUCCAGAUCCAGAUCCUCCUGGCAGAAUCAUCUUUGUCUUGAAGGCCUGGUAAGCCACAAAACACUACCAUAUAACAAUAUACUAAUCAGAUAACAAUAAUUAUGCAUGUACACAGGUAGGGUUUCCACAUGAAAAUUAAAAGUCAACAAAUGAGGCUCAAAUUUUUGUUGCACACUACACUACAUGAAAGUAUAAUGGUUGCACCUUCAAAUCCAAAAUUUCGCUACUCUUAUUCUAGCAAUGGUGCUCUUUAUUUCACAACAUUUCUCUCAAAGGUCAAAGCCAAAGGUCAUUGUGAUCUCUAAUAAAAUGUGAUUUUCAAACUGUGGAUGAAAGCUAUGACUCUCCUUUUGCUUUGCAUCCAUUCCUAUACUAACUAGUAGUGUGUGGAUCACCCCAAACUGGAGAAAGGAUUCUCACAGGUGCGAAGCAGAAGGUUUCGAGGUAUCAUCCUACAGUGUCAAGAUCAAUCUACCUGCUCAACAAUACAACACAGUAAUACAGCAUAAAGUGUGUCUAUUCUUCCGAAAACAAAGUCAGAACUGGAUCACCUAGCUAUUAAAAUACUGUUGGAGCAGGAAUUUAGGAUUAAAUUAUUUCACGUUUGUGUUCCGAUUUCAUGGUAUUUCAAUUAAAAAUACAAGAAUGAAUACUGGUACUAACUACUUUACAUACAAAAAGAAGUAAAAUCUUAUUUUGAUAUUGUUUAAAGAGUGUUGUAUCAUUGAGCAGG